rnacentral:piRNA from 1 species
CAAUGUGAAGACUACAGCACUCC